AACGCGAAGAACCUUACCUGGUCUUGACAUCCCCCUGAAAGCGCAGUAAUGUGCGUGUUCCUUCGGGACAGGGGAGACAGGUGGUGCAUGGUUGUCGUCAGCUCGUGUCGUGAGAUGUUGGGUUAAGUCCCGCAACGAGCGCAACCCUUAUCCUUAGUAGCCAGCACGUUAUGGUGGGCACUCUGGGGAGACUGCCGGGGAUAACCCGGAGGAAGGCGGGGAUGACGUCAAAUCAUCAUGCCCCUUAUGGCCAGGGCUACACACGUGCUACAAUGGCGUAAACAAAGGGAAGCGAAGUGGUGACACGGAGCAAAUCCCAAAAAUAACGUCUCAGUUCGGAUUGUAGUCUGCAACUCGACUACAUGAAGCCGGAAUCGCUAGUAAUCGCGGAUCAGAAUGCCGCGGUGAAUACGUUCCCGGGUCUUGUACACACCG
rnacentral:rRNA from 1 species